AUCCACUAGUUCAGGGUCAUUGUACAAUCCACUAGAAUGCUAGUUCAGGGUCAAAGGUGACUGAAACUCAAUCCAAAAAAAUCAAGGAGGGACUCCCUCCCUAACACAUUCUAUGAAUCUAGUAUCACAAUUGUACCCAAAUCAGGCAAAGCCAUACACACACACACACACACACACACACAACUGGUCAAUAUCCCUGAUGAACAUAGAUGCAAAAAUUCUCAACUAGCAAAAUGAAUUCAAUAGUACAUCAAAAAGAUAAUAUAGUUAAGUGGGUUUUACUCCAGAAAUACA
rnacentral:lncRNA from 1 species